rnacentral:misc_RNA from 1 species
UUUCGCUCCAAGAAGGAUGUUUUCCGCUAUUUACAAACUGGAGACAUCAGUAGUUGUGCUAUAAGACCUGUCAAAAGGGAUCUAGAUGCUGCAAUGACGGAUAGUUCUCCCACAACAGUUGACACCAAUUCGAAGAAAUUAGUGUGCUCUGUAACCGAAAGGCAACCUUUUGCUGCCAAGGAAUCCAGAGGUCGAAAACGUUCAGUUACUUGUUCACCAAAAGUACAAGCUGAGAGUUCCAAGAAACAGCCUGAAAGCAGUGCAUCCAAUGCAAACACUAUUAUUACAUCAUCUGAAGCUGAUAUUAUUGUGAAGCAAAAUGCUGAAAUAAGUCUAGACACAGAGCCAGAAAUAAGAGACUCAAGUGCAGACACAAAAGUCAUAGAUGCUGAAAGUAACGCUAUCAAAAGGUUAUCAGCUGUCUCAACCCCUCAGUCAGAUCUACCCUCAGAGCAGCAAUUACCAGAAAAUGAGCCCGAAAAGCAUAUUAGUAAAGAAAAACCGGAGCAGUCAAGAAGAUCCAGAGCUAAGAAACCACUCACACCUGGUCGGCGGAUCUCAAAAAGACUUGUGGGCCACAGCCCAGAACCGGUGGCUGAUUUGGAUCUAGGUGAACGUGCUUUUCGAGCUGUUGUUAAGAAAUCUGCCUCUUUGGGCAUCCCCCUGAAUGUCUCUGGUCAGGAAUUUUCCCAGAACAAAGAUCCUACAGUAGGAACUGGCAAUUCUGAUCAG